CAAACUUCUAUUGGCUUUCCAUAAAAAUGUCUGUCCGGGUGGAGAUGAAGCCAGGAAACUUGUGCAAGAACAUGUUUAAAUGCCGUACCCUUUGACAAAACAUUGACAACUAUAAACUGCUUUAUAAUGGCUGGUCGUAGUUCUGCUAGAGGGUCAAGGACGGGUUCCUCAAAACUGUUGUGUUUCCACACCACUUAGCAUGAACAUAUGCUGACCUUUCUGCUCUGCAUCUAUCGAUUGAGUAAGUUACAUUCAUAUAUGUUACCCGUUUACAUGUCAUGGCAAAACAUUCAACCUCAGUGACACAAGGGUACAUCUGAUGAUACAUUGUCAACAUUCCAUGUAUGUCAGACUCAAGAUUGUCUGGUGGAAUGGAGAAGAGGCACCACUGUACAGAUUUCUAGGGAAAGUCGUUCUGCUGACACCAAAACACUGCUUUACAUAAAGCAUAUCAGCUGUUUCAAAGUCCCAACCAUUUGUCUUCCUAAAAUACUGGUCCUUCCGUAUAACAAUAACCUCGUAUGUGAUUGGAGGACCCUUAGACUCCUCGUCCAAUCACGUGUGAGGUCAUAGGCAUGACUGAUACAGCAGUACUUGCAAGGCGAGCAUACAAACAGACACGUGUGUUACUAUAUUCAGAAGAACUGUAUCUCCAGUUCCUUUGUUUGGUUUUUGCUGCUUCGUGAAUAAUGGCGGGACGACGUCUCGCGUUCAACUCGCCUUCAACUCCUCUCCGCGGUCACCAACUUUCGGCCAGUCCGCAGACAGACAGAAGAAGCUGCUGAAAGCUCUCAGUGGAUCGUCUCGUCAACUCCAACAACAAACUGCCGAUAUCAACGAGCGGUUCGCUCCACUGGAGCGUUCGGAACUCUGCGGGUUUCUGUCCAUGGAGGAGAGGAACUGACUCAAAGAAGAAGAGACGGGCGCACGAUCCCACGAUAGCGGAAGCGGUGCGCCGUCUUCACAACUCCGAGACGAACUACAGGCGCUACGAAUCGGAGCAAGGGUCAGAUUUACAGAAUAUGCUUUCAUUCUGCGCUAUAAGGGAAUAUAUACGUAUAGAUACCAUAGGAUGGAUACCGAUCGUAAAUGUACAUUUUGUUUUCACAGACUAAUCUCGCCUCAUAAUGAGGCGGUGACCUCGUAUUUGCUCCGGGAAAAGUCCAGAUUUAGACAACGUAAUUGUGUCCGCCUGUGAGACGUAUUGGGAGACGGGACGCAGGAGCUUCAGGUUCAGCCGGAACACUCAAUGCGGAGUUCAGCGCGGAGUCGAGCGAGAAGAAAGCGGGUCAGAGUUUAUUUGCUGACUUGUUUCAGCUGCUGGAAUCGAGACAAAGUGCGCUGGCUGAUGACGAGGUGGAACUCUGGAAAUCCGCCACCGUAGAGCUCACGUCGGACGGAGGGGACGGCGUUGUUGGCGGGGUUCUCGGGUGGAUUGUACGGUCGCCACACGCAGAGCCGCCUGCACAACAGACCUGCCUCGGAAAACACGGCGCCAGUGACGGUCUACAACCCCGAGGAGGCAAACGGACAGUUUACUGAGCUGUAGUUUUUUAAACCGCCGUUACCCAAGUGUGGGCAGAUCCUCACUUUGUAUGUAGUUGUUGUUUGUGUGUUAAUAAAGCUCUUUCUUUGCAUAA
ensembl:lncRNA